GCUGGGCAUGGUGGUGCAUGCCUAUAAUCCCAGAGGUUCAGGAGGCUGAGACAGGAGGAUCACAAGUUCAAAGCCAGCCUCAGCAAUGGCGAGGUGCCAAGCAAUGCAGUGAGACCCUGUCUCUU
rnacentral:sRNA from 1 species